GACGAACGCUGGCGGCGUGCUUAACACAUGCAAGUCGAACGGAAAGGCCCUGCUUUUGUGGGGUGCUCGAGUGGCGAACGGGUGAGUAACACGUGAGUAACCUGCCCUUGACUUUGGGAUAACUUCAGGAAACUGGGGCUAAUAUCGGAUAGGAGCUCCUGCUGCAUGGUGGGGGUUGGAAAGUUUCGGCGGUUGGGGCUGGUCUCGCGGCUUAUCAGCUUGUUGGUGGGGUAGUGGCUUACCAAGGCUUUGACGGGUAGCCGGCCUGAGAGGGUGACCGGCCACAUUGGGACUGAGAUACGGCCCAGACUCCUACGGGCGGCAGCAGUGGGGAAUAUUGCACAAUGGGCGGAAGCCUGAUGCAGCAACGCCGCGUGCGGGAUGACGUCCUUCGGGUUGUAAACCGCUUUCGCCUGUGACGAAGCGUGAGUGACGGUAAUGGGUAAAGAAGCACCGGCUAACUACGUG
rnacentral:rRNA from 1 species